rnacentral:rRNA from 1 species
UGGGGAAUAUUGCACAAUGGGCGCAAGCCUGAUGCAGCCAUGCCGCGUGUAUGAAGAAGGCCUUCGGGUUGUAAAGUACUUUCAGCGGGGAGGAAGGGAGUAAAGUUAAUACCAUUGCUCAUUGACGUUACCCGCAGAAGAAGCACCGGCUAACUCCGUGCCAGCAGCCGCGGUAAUACGGAGGGUGCAAGCGUUAAUCGGAAUUACUGGGCGUAAAGCGCACGCAGGCGGUUUGUUAAGUCAGAUGUGAAAUCCCCGGGCUCAACCUGGGAACUGCAGCUGAUACUGGCAAGCUUGAGUCUCGUAGAGGGGGGUAGAAUUCCAGGUGUAGCGGUGAAAUGCGUAGAGAUCUGGAGGAAUACCGGUGGCGAAGGCGGCCCCCUGGACGAAGACUGACGCUCAGGUGCGAAAGCGUGGGGAGCAAACAG